AGUAAAUCAUCUCUCCGAAGCCUGUCCGCCUAAACUUCACGCAUGGCGAACAGGACAGAUGAAUGUAGCGCGAAAUUUAUUUCGCAAGGCGCGAUGUUCGUCCAGGUAAAAGUGGAAACGCUUUUGCCCCCCGCAUUGGAAAGGAGACUCUCGCGCCCUCCC
rnacentral:ncRNA from 2 species